AGUGAACGCUGGCGGUAGGCCUAACACAUGCAAGUCGAACGGCAGCACAGUAAGAGCUUGCUCUUACGGGUGGCGAGUGGCGGACGGGUGAGGAAUACAUCGGAAUCUACUUUUUCGUGGGGGAUAACGCAGGGAAACUUACGCUAAUACCGCAUACGACCUACGGGUGAAAGCAGGGGAUCUUCGGACCUCGCGCGAUUGAAUGAGCCGAUGUCGGAUUAGCUAGUUGGCGGGGUAAAGGCCCACCAAGGCGACGAUCCGUAGCUGGUCUGAGAGGAUGAUCAGCCACACUGGAACUGAGACACGGUCCAGACUCCUAAGGGAGGCAGCAGUGGGGAAUGUUGGACAAUGGGCGCAAACCUGAUCCAACCAUACCGCGUGGGUGGAGAAGGCCUUCGGGUUGUAAAACCCUUUUGUUGGGAAAGAAAAGCAGCAAGUUAAAACCCCGCUGUUCUGACGGUACCCAAAGAAUAAGCACCGGCUAACUUCGUG
rnacentral:rRNA from 1 species